rnacentral:rRNA from 1 species
CCCCUAGAUGUUCUGGGCCGCACGCGCGCUACACUGAUGCAUUCAACGAGCACCCGCUGGGCCGAGAGGUCCGGCUAAUCUUUGAACGUGCAUCGUGCUGGGGAUAGAUGAUUGCAAUUAUUCAUCUUCAACGAGGAAUUCCUAGUAAACGCAAGUCAUCAGCUUGCAUUGAUUACGUCCCUGCCCUUUGUACACACCGCCCGUCGCACCUACCGAUUGAAUGGUCCGGUGAAAUUCUCGGACGCGGACUUGCGAUGUUAAUUCGGAGCUUGACUGUGAAAGUUAAUUAAACCUUACCAUUUAGAGGAAGGUGAAGUCGUANCA